rnacentral:rRNA from 1 species
GAUCCUGGCUCAGGACGAACGCUGGCGGCGUGCCUAAUACAUGCAAGUAGAACGCUGAAGGGAGAGCUUGCUCUUCUGGAUGAGUUGCGAACGGGUGAGUAACGCGUAGGUAACCUGCCUGGUAGCGGGGGAUAACUAUUGGAAACGAUAGCUAAUACCGCAUAACAUUGACUAUUGCAUGAUAGUCAAUUGAAAGGUGCAAAUGCACCACUACCAGAUGG